rnacentral:rRNA from 1 species
GACGAACCGUCCGAACGUUAUUCGGAAUCACUGGGCUUAAAGGGUGCGUAGGCGGCGCGGAAAGUUGGGUGUGAAAUCCCUCGGCUCAACCGAGGAACUGCGCCCAAAACUACCGUGCUCGAGGGAGAUAGAGGUGAGCGGAACUUAGGGUGGAGCGGUGAAAUGCGUUGAUAUCCUAAGGAACACCGGUGGCGAAAGCGGCUCACUGGAUCUCUUCUGACGCUGAGGCAAGAAAGCUAGGGUAGCGAACGGG